CACCGGGUUCAGUUGAUGGCGGCUUCCUUCUUGCGGUCACGGCCGUUGUCGCCUCGCAGUCGUGCAGUAGCUGCCUGUCUUCCCACUGCCGCCGGGCCCGCAGCGCCCAGGUGUGAUCGCGGCGGCCCGCUGUGCCAUAUCCCCGCUCGGUACCCCGGCUGAAGGCCUGCCGGUGGGGACGGCUGCUCUCUUCCCGGUAGCCUCUCGCAGAGCUGCCGGUUGAGACUUUAUCUGCAGGUUUAUCUGACUAAGAAAAUACCAUGUUUCCAAUCCCUUACCAGUAAAGCAUCCUUAAGUAUGGAGAACUUCAUUCUUUAUGAAGAGAUAGGAAGAGGAAACAAGACCAUCGUUUAUAAAGGAAGAAGAAAGGGGACAAUUAAUUUUGUUGCCAUUCUUUGCACUGAUAAAUGCAAAAGAGCUGAAAUAACAAACUGGGUUCGUCUGACUCAUGAAAUCAGACACAAGAACAUAGUGACAUUUCAUGAAUGGUAUGAAACAAGCAACCACCUCUGGCUUGUAAUGGAGUUAUGCACAGGUGGUUCACUAGAAUCAGUUAUUGCUCAAGAUGAACAUCUACCUGAAGAUGUAGUGAGAGAAUUUGGUGUAGAUUUGAUUACCGGUUUACACCACAUUCAUAACCUUGGGAUUAUCUUUUGUGAGCUGACACCUGGAAAGAUUCUGCUGGAAGGGCCUGGCACUUUGAAGUUCAGUAACUUUUGCUUGGCUAAAGCAGAUGGAGAAAACUUGGAGGAAUUUUUUGCUUUAGUUGGGUCUGAAGAAACAGGAAGAGAUGUUGUUGAAAGCACUGCACAAAGACACCUGAAAAACAGACUUCGAGGCUCUCCAUUAUACACAGCUCCAGAAGUAAUAAAGGGAGAAGAUUUCUCCAAGUCCAGUGAUCUGUGGUCCUUAGGAUGUUUACUUUAUGAAAUGUUCUCAGGAAGACCACCAUUCUUCUCAGAGAACUUUUCAGAAUUAAUUGAAAAGAUUUUACAUGAAGAUCCACUGCCACUGAGGCCCAAGGGUUCUGCUUUUCAGAAACCUUCUGCAGAGUUCAUUAGCUUACUUGAUGGAUUGCUUCAAAAGGAUCCUCAGAAGAGGCUCAACUGGACAGACAUAUUGCAACAUCCAUUCUGGAAAGACUCCCUUAGCCAUUGUGACGGCGAUUCUUCAGACAGCCAGGGCUCAAGCAAUGAAGACUUGGAGUCAUGGAAUACCAAGGGGCCAGACGAUGCUUGCAAAAACCUAUCAUCUUCAAGAGCAGAUAAUAAGCUACCAAGCAAUUCUUUCAAAAUAGUAGAAAAUCCGACUGAAUUGCGCCCCAAAAAUGCAGAUGGUGAAUCAAAUGAAUCCAUAUUUCUUCUGAGUUCUCGUCCUACUCCUAGAACCAGCACUGCAGUACAAGUAACUGAUGUUAGUAUUGCUCCAAUCCAAAAUUCUCCACAAAAGGAUUCAAGCAUGACAAGGGCUAAAAAUGUGUGCACAAGUCAGCAGGAUAUGGAGUCAGCAUUGAAAGAGCUCAUUUACACUGAAUCUGAUCUUAUCAUAACACCAAUCAUUGACAAUCCAAAGAUAAUGAAGCAAGUGCCAGUUAGAUUUGACUCAAAAGCUUUACAUAUACCAGCGUAUUCAGCUGAGAAGUUGUCAUCUCUGAAGGAUGUGGACUGGAAUGACUUCUUGCACCAAGCAUGUUUGUUGCUUGAUUCCGCUGAGAAGAAUCCAGGAACAGCACGUUCUAAACUGAAUUUACUGUCUUACCUCUGUACUGUGGCUGGCCACAAGGAAGCUGCAAGCAGGCUAAUUAACUCUCGGCUGUUCCCAGUGUUAAUACAGCAGCUGCGUGCCGCCACCAACUGGGAUAUACGUGCUAAAGUGGCUCGAGUGAUUGGUUUGCUGGCACUGCACACGUCUGAGCUUGGAGAAAACAUACCUGUGUCUGAGGCAUUUAUACUUCUAACUGAACUCAUCAGAGAGAACUUCAGAAAUAGCAAAUUGAAACAAUGCCUUUUACCAGCACUUGGGGAGCUUCUUUAUCUUGUAGCCAGCAAGGAGGUAAAAAAAGAGCACCCCAGAGAAUGCUUGGUUGUUCCCUCAGCAGCUUACACUGUGCUAAUGAGGUGUCUUCGGGAAGGGGAAGACCGGACUGUGAACCAUUUGGCAGCAAAGAUAAUCGAAAAUGUUUGCACUACUCUCUCCUGCUAUGCACAAGGAUUUAUUACAGGAGAAAUCGGACCAGUCUUAUGGUACCUUUUCACACAUUCUACCAUAGAUUCUUUGAAAAUAACUGCUGUUUCGGCUUUAUGCAGAAUCACCCGUUAUUCACCCAGUGCUUUCCAGAGUGUCAUUGAGAAGGUGGGAUUAACAGCUGUACUAAAUUCCUUGCUAACUGGAAUAUGCAAAAUACAGCAGUACCUGCUCACCAUGUUUUCUGCAAUGUUGUCAUGUGGAAUUCAUCUCCAGAGGCUGAUACAAGAAAAGGAGUUUAUGACUACAAUUAUUCGUUUACUUGAAAGUCCUUCAACUUUCAUACGAGCAAAAGCAUUUCUGGUCCUGCUGCAAGUUUUAAUAAAUAGCAGGGAAAUGUUGCUUCUCAGUUGUCAAGCAAGGCUUGUGAUGUAUAUUGAAAGAGACAGCAGAAAGACCACAGCAGGAAAAGAGCAGCAAAGCGGCAAUGAAUACCUGUCAAAAUGCCUGGAUCUUCUCAUCCAUCACAUUGUACAAGAGCUGCCAGGAAUUCUAGGUGACAUUCUCAACACCUUAACUAAUGUCUCUGGACGCAAACACCCAUCAACAGUUCAGGCCAAACAGCUGAAGAUGUGCCUUCCCAUGAUGCCUGUAGUGCUUCAUCUUGUGACAUCCCAGGUAUUUCGUCCUCUCAUUGUCACAGAGGAGUUUCUUUUCAACUAUGGGACCUUACUUAAUUUUAUUAGAUCGAUAGAGUCAGGAGAAACUAAUUUGGAUGGAGCAAUAGGUCCAGCUGCAUCAGAAGAACUGAUUAAGAGUACUUUAUCAACGUUUGAAGCAAUAACAUUGCAUCCUGCCUUGUUGACAAUCCAUCACUUGACUGUUGAAGGCUGCAUCCUCCCACCACUAGUUUCUUUGGUCCACAGUCAGAAUGUGGAAUGGAGUCUCUUCAGUUUGCGGUUGCUCUCAGAAACCACAUCACUACUCUUAAACCACAAGGUUAUGGCUGAGGAGAAAGAGGAGAGCCUCGACUCAAACAGGAAGCUUCUGUCUCUCAUUAGAGAUUCAUUGCUGCCUCAGUAUGAGCAUAUCCUGAUGACUCCAGACCCAGUACCACUGUAUGCUCUGAAGCUGUUGGUGGCCCUGACUGAACACAGCCCUUCUUCUGUGAGCCUUGUGGAAGAAAACCAUCUUUUUCCAGUUCUUUUCCAAGUCAUCUCGGAACACCAAGACAAUAUACUAGGGAAUACAAUGCAAACUGCAGUCGCCUUACUGAACAACGUGGUCGCCAACAAAAGCACAAAUAUGAUGUCACUUUUUGCAGAAGGACUGGCUCCUCACAUCUGUAAUCUCCUAAUAGAAACUGUGGCUCUGUACUUGGAGGCAGAUGAUAAAAGCAGCACCAAGACAGCAAAUGCACUGCUGCUGUCCUUGCUUGACAUUUUGCACUGCAUGCUGAUGUACACAACAAACAUUGUGCGCCAGACUUUGCAGGCACAGAAAUCCGGCACAGGAGGGGACACGCAGGCUGCUGAAGAUCUUCUGCUUAUCAAUAAACCCCUGACGGACCUAAUUAGCCUGCUUAUUCAACUGCUUCCCAGUGAAGAUACUGAAACAUUUGAGUAUGCCUCACGGUGCUUAUCACUGCUGGUUCAGCUCUACGGAGGCAACAGUCAGGAGAGCAUGUCUCCAGAAAACAUGGACAGCUUUGCUGAAGUGCUGCAAUCCAGAAAAGAUACACGGCAUCGGAAGGUUUUGUUGAGAAUUAUAAAGAGACUGAUAACUUCAAACGAGAAGUGCUUGGAGAGCCUGAAGAGUGAUGGCGAUGCUCUGCUCUGUGCUCUGCAGAGCCUGGCCCAGCCUGCCAGAUUUUAAGGAAUGCACAUCUCUGUCCAUUCACCUGCUGAGCAGCCUGGGAGGGAUCUAGCCUGCAUCUCAAGCAUGGACAAAUGGCCUACAGGGUAGAUAGGAAAAGUCUUGGAUUAGCAUGCUCAAUCAAGUGUAGCCAAGUGGCCUUUCCGUAUGUGAACGUUACAGGCAUUCUGCCAUCUCCUCAAACUCCCUCUCCUGUGCCAUCUUCCCUACAAUAUCCCUUGUCACCUAUUCAUUUCAGCUUCCUCUUCUCACCUGUGCUUUGAACCCUGCUAAGAAGCCUUUCCAAACUUCAUGCUGAAUUGGGAACACAAGCAGACUGGUCUCCCAGGCCCUGCCACCCACAUACCAUCAGUAGGUCGGAGUGGAUGAGGCGUGUUUUUGCUUCACUUGUUUUUCACAGACCGGUUUCUCCUCUUUCAGCGCAGCAGAAGGAAGACAACAACCAAGCAGUGCCAUUGCUGGCAGGGAUGUGGCCGGGCAGCACGCUGCUCUCGGCGCUCUCUCCUGCUGCCUUGUAGCAGCUGCCUCUUGCCAAACUGUUACGUACUGUUGGCUAGUCAGAACAGGCAGCCCUGGGGUUGGUAUGUAACCAACCCAUCAGGCUUAGUAGUGAGGUGGAAUUCAACCUGAACUUCAAAAUGUGGGGUCUUAGCAAUGCAUCCCUCAGUUGUCAACAUGCGUUUGUUUCAGCUCUCACGCUGAUGUUGCUGUUGCCUCCCUGUCAUCUGAAAUUCUGAGAGCAGUGGCAGAUGAAAAUCCAAAGCUGACCAAGUGAACUACUUUGGACCAGCCCACCAAAAUGCACAGCUGUGUGUGAUGCUCAACACUGUCCUGAAUCAACGUCUUCACACAAGCAGAGCAGUCCUAAUUCACUCAGUGAGUCGUGAGCCACAGGCAUGGUUUUGGCUUCUUCUGAAAGAACAGCUUUCUUUUUUAUAGCCCCUUAUGGGUGAAUUCUUGAUUACUGUUUUACCUUGUUGGCAGUGUGUGAUGUAGUGUGAGUGCUUGACAACUCGAGUUUGAGAAGAGCAAAUAAAAUAAAUAGUUUAGUUGUUUCACA